ACUUAAAUUGAAGAGUUUGAUCAUGGCUCAGAUUGAACGCUGGCGGCAGGCCUAACACAUGCAAGUCGAGCGGUAGCACAGAGAGCUUGCUCUCGGGUGACGAGCGGCGGACGGGUGAGUAAUGUCUGGGAAACUGCCUGAUGGAGGGGGAUAACUACUGGAAACGGUAGCUAAUACCGCAUAACGUCGCAAGACCAAAGUGGGGGACCUUCGGGCCUCAUGCCAUCAGAUGUGCCCAGAUGGGAUUAGCUAGUAGGUGGGGUAACGGCUCACCUAGGCGACGAUCCCUAGCUGGUCUGAGAGGAUGACCAGCCACACUGGAACUGAGACACGGUCCAGACUCCUACGGGAGGCAGCAGUGGGGAAUAUUGCACAAUGGGCGCAAGCCUGAUGCAGCCAUGCCGCGUGUAUGAAGAAGGCCUUCGGGUUGUAAAGUACUUUCAGCGGGGAGGAAGGCGAUAAGGUUAAUAACCUUGUCGAUUGACGUUACCCGCAGAAGAAGCACCGGCUAACUCCGUGCCAGCAGCCGCGGUAAUACGGAGGGUGCAAGCGUUAAUCGGAAUUACUGGGCGUAAAGCGCACGCAGGCGGUCUGUCAAGUCGGAUGUGAAAUCCCCGGGCUCAACCUGGGAACUGCAUUCGAAACUGGCAGGCUAGAGUCUUGUAGAGGGGGGUAGAAUUCCAGGUGUAGCGGUGAAAUGCGUAGAGAUCUGGAGGAAUACCGGUGGCGAAGGCGGCCCCCUGGACAAAGACUGACGCUCAGGUGCGAAAGCGUGGGGAGCAAACAGGAUUAGAUACCCUGGUAGUCCACGCCGUAAACGAUGUCGAUUUGGAGGUUGUGCCCUUGAGGCGUGGCUUCCGGAGCUAACGCGUUAAAUCGACCGCCUGGGGAGUACGGCCGCAAGGUUAAAACUCAAAUGAAUUGACGGGGGCCCGCACAAGCGGUGGAGCAUGUGGUUUAAUUCGAUGCAACGCGAAGAACCUUACCUGGUCUUGACAUCCACAGAACUUAGCAGAGAUGCUUUGGUGCCUUCGGGAACUGUGAGACAGGUGCUGCAUGGCUGUCGUCAGCUCGUGUUGUGAAAUGUUGGGUUAAGUCCCGCAACGAGCGCAACCCUUAUCCUUUGUUGCCAGCGGUUAGGCCGGGAACUCAAAGGAGACUGCCAGUGAUAAACUGGAGGAAGGUGGGGAUGACGUCAAGUCAUCAUGGCCCUUACGACCAGGGCUACACACGUGCUACAAUGGCAUAUACAAAGAGAAGCGACCUCGCGAGAGCAAGCGGACCUCAUAAAGUAUGUCGUAGUCCGGAUUGGAGUCUGCAACUCGACUCCAUGAAGUCGGAAUCGCUAGUAAUCGUAGAUCAGAAUGCUACGGUGAAUACGUUCCCGGGCCUUGUACACACCGCCCGUCACACCAUGGGAGUGGGUUGCAAAAGAAGUAGGUAGCUUAACCUUCGGGAGGGCGCUUACCACUUUGUGAUUCAUGACUGGGGUGAAGUCGUAACAAGGUAACCGUAGGGGAACCUGCGGUUGGAUCACCUCCUUACCUUAAAGAA
rnacentral:rRNA from 2 species